rnacentral:rRNA from 1 species
AUGUCAACUACUGUCCCAACCGAAAGUAGUAAGCCUAAGAGGAGGAAUGCUCGUGGGAAUCGGACUAACCCUGGCUGGGAACAUGGAGAACAAGUUGAUGCUGAGAAGAGGACAACAAGAUGCAAAUAUUGCCUUCUAGUUAAAGGUGGAGGUGUCUACAGAUUGAAGCAUCACUUGGCUGGGACAAGGUUUAAUGUCGAGCCUUGCGAAAAAGUUCCCGAUGAUGUUCGAAAAAAGUUUCUCAAACUUCUGGGGGUCCAAGCAGAGAAGAAUGAUGCAAAGAAGAGGAAGUUUAACACAGAAAUGGAGGAGACGGGUGCAUGUUCGAAGGAGAAUACUCUUGUUGAUAACAAUGAAGAUGAGGCUGAGACAAAUCGUUUCGCUAACAAGCGCAGAGCCCAAACAACAGUGAAUCAGUUUUACAAGAAAGAAGAGAGAGAAGAGGUUUGUGCUCAAAUUUGUCGGGUCUUCUAUACCAAUUCUAUCUCAUUUAAUGUUGUCAAGGACCCGGAAUUUAUAAAGAUGAUUGAAAUGAUUGGAAACUUUGGUAAAGGUUUUAAACCUCCAUCAUAUCAUGAAGUGAGGGUAAAAUUUCUCAAGCUGGAAGUUAAGAGAACAAUGAAUUUGCUCUCUGAAUACAAAGAAGAGUGGAAAAAGACAGGAUGUACAAUUAUGUCUGAUGGAUGGACACAUAAAAAGAAAAGGUCCAUCUGCAACUUUUUAGUGAAUAGCCCCAAAGGUACUAUCUUUCUCGCCUCAGUCGAUACUUCUAACAUUUCCAAGACAGCGGACAAAGUGUUUGAAAUGUUAGAUGAUAUUGUUGAGCAAGUAGGAGAAGAUAAUGUUGUUCAAAUUGUAACGGACAAUGCCGCUAACUAUAAAGCAGCUGGUGAGCUAUUGAUGGAAAAGAGGAAAAAAUUAUUUUGGACUCCAUGUGCAGCUCAUUGUAUUGAUUUAAUUCUUGAGUAUUUUGAAAAGAAAAUUAAGAUGCAUCAGACAACCAUUACAAAGGGCAGAAAAAUCACCACGUAUAUUUAUUCUAGAACAAUGGUUCUUUCUUGGUUGAGAGAGUUCACUAGAGGGAAGGAUUUAGUUAGGUCAGCAGUGACAAGAUUUGCUACUGCCUAUUUGACUUUGGGUUGUCUGCAUGAGCACAAGGGCGCAUUAAUCAAUAUGUUCACUUCAACAAAGUGGAGGGGUAGUAGAUUUAAUUCUGCAGAAGGGAAGGUCGUUCAAGGAAUUGUUUUGGAUAGCCAUGGGUUCUGGCCUAAUGUUGCCACAUGUCUGAAGGCUGCACUCCCAAUUAUAAAAGUUCUUUGA